AGCAAACGACGGCAAUGUUGCCAGAUUCCUUUUAGCGGGAAUUUUAAAAUUUUAUAAGAGUUUGGUUUUAAAUUUGACAGUUCUGUUUUCUCAAGUCAAAAAUCUUAACCUUACUUUUACAAGUGAUUAGGAUUAUUAUUAUUAUUUUAUUUACAUGUAAAUUGAAACAAUAAAUAUUGUGGCUGUGUCAUAAUUUCAAACUCAUUAUGUUGCAGUCUUUUCCAGUUGAUAAAAUUGCAAUUCAAAAACUUUUAGAUUUGCACUGUAUGGAUGGCACAGGAAGAGAAACAAGAGUACAAGAACAUGAAACAUCCUAUUAUAAAUGUAUAUGUAUGUGAUCCUCAAAAAAUUAUUUUACAAAACAAGAUAGAGAAAGAGCUUUAAAAUCCCAAGGAUCCUGCAAAAUGUUUAUUUGGUGUACUAGUCGAAUAAUAGUAUCUAAAAAUAUUGAAACUAUUUUAUGGGCAUGAGGAUGAUAUAGAGCACUUACAUAAAUACCAAAAUCAGAUAAAUAUCUCUUCAAAGUUUAUUUUGAGACUUUCUUCAAAAAUUAAACUUCAGACUGUACAGGAUAGCAUAAUAGCAUAGGAGGCGAAUUAAAAAGAAUUGAUUUACUUACAAGAAAAGAUAUCACAAACAUUAAACUCUCUUAUGGCAUUGAUUUGAAAGAUGGGUAUAUGUACAAUGAUGAUGCAACCAGUGUUUAUUUUUGGGUUGAAUGCUUACAGACUCAUGUCCAAUAUUAUUUUACAAACAACAGGGCAUACUAAUGGAUAUUCAUUAUGAAUUUAACAUUUAUGAUUUUUGUCUUAUGUUCCUUAAUACUGUGCCAAAAGUUUGGUAAAUCCUUUAUCGCAAUCGAUGGAACUCAUGGGCUCAAUUCCUAUGACUUUGAACUUAUGACAGUAUUAGUAAAAGAUGAAUUUGGGAAUGGAUUUUGUACUGCUUUCUUAUUUUCAAAUAGAAAAGAUACCUACUUUAAUUUACCAAUUUUUUUAAAUACAUGUCUGUGUUGGUAUUAUAUGUAUAGUCAAAUGUUUUCAUAUCAGGCAUAAGCGACACCUUUUACAAUGCCUCGUCAAAUGUAAUGGGUAUUGCUCCUAAUAGACUGUUAAGUGCCUGGCACAUAAAUAGGGCAUGCUAAGUAAAUCUUAAUAAAAUAUCUGAUUCUGAAAAAAAUCCUAUUAUGUAUACAAGAUGUAUUAGUGAUGGUUUAGAGAGUAUUAAUAGCUUUUUGGGUAGACUUCUAAGUGAUGCAGAUACAUACAAUUUUAGUAAGUAUUUCCAGUAGAACUACUGCAAUAACAUCCAACAAUGGGCCUAUUGUUAUAGGAAGGGGUUGUGGAAUUAAUACCAAUAUGACCAUUCAAAAUUUUCAUAAAAUUUUGGAUAAAAGGGUAUCCAUUAGUUGUUAUCAGUUAAGUUUAAAACUUGGCACUCAUGGAGAGCUAUACCAUAAUAUAUAAUAGGUAUAUCUCAUAAUAUUACAUCUCAUAUUGCUCACUCAUUACAAUAGUGAGCAAUAUGAGAUGUAACAUAUUAUAGUAUAAGUCUCUGUGCAUGACCAGAUUAACAUGUUUGGUGCCCAUCUCGAACAAACUCCACUUGGCUGGUACCACAUACUUAAAUCAUUUAUUUAGUUACACAGUACUACUCACAUAACUUAUGUGUCGUCAGUACCUUCCGUAAAACCUUCGUGAUGCUACCCAUACGUCAUGGCCACUGAAUGUGUUAAAGCUUGUUAAUGUAGGAGAGUUAUACUAAAAUAUAUAUCUUAUAUUAUAUUGCCUUCAAUAGAAAAAAUAUCUUAUUUAAAUUGUAUCCAUGUAAGUUUUGAUUUAAUGAAAUAAACCUUUUAAUCAAAAAAGUGUUGUUUACUUGUGUACACCUAGCAAUAUCCUGAUCAUAGAUAAAUAAUAUAGUAUUACCGGAUCCUGAUAUGCAGACGCCAAUAGGGCUUUUC